rnacentral:tRNA from 1 species
GCGUCGGCUGGGCAUAGGCGAGCCCAACUGCCUGUAAAGCAGCCAGCCCGAAAGGCUAUGCAGGUCCAAUUCCUGCCCGGCGCA